CCUCUACCGCGUCUGGCUUUUCUUCACCUCCACUCGCUCCCUCUCCGGAAUCCGGGAGCAAUGAGGCUGCGACAGCAGGCGAUGUCCUAUCAAGGUCCUGCUGAAUGUCAUCACAACCUUCAAGUGUAUGAGCCACUCCCCCCAGUUUGGUAUCAUCAGAGGGCUUGCUGAGAAUACAUUCUGUCCCUUCAUCCAGGAAAACAAGAUGAACAAGACUGGACCUGGUAUUGAUACCUGGGGAAUGCCAUUGACUACAGGCCUUCAACUGGAUUCUACUCUGCUGAUUGUGAUCCUCUGAGCUCUGCCAUUCAGAUAGCUCUUGAUUUGCCUCACUGUCCAUUCAUCCACAAUUCCUAAGUUUAUCCACAAGAAUGUUAUGGGAGUCAGUGCCCAAAGCCUUGCUGAAGUCAAGGUAGCCAACAUUCAUUACCCUCUCCUUGUCAACCCAUCCUGCCAUGCUAUCAUAGAAGACUAUCAGAUUUGUCAAACGUGAUUUUCCCUUGGUGAGUCCAUGCUGACUAUUCCUGAUGACCCUUUUCUUUUACAUGUAUGUUGAUGACUUCCAGUACUCCCUGUUCCAUCACCUUUCCAUCACCUUUUCCAUCUUUCCAGGCUUCCCCUAUUCCCUGUUCCAUCACCAGGGGUGAAGGAGAGACUGACUGGCCAGUGGUUUCCCAGGUCCUCCUCCUUGCCUUUUGUGAAGAUGGGGGUAACUUUGUCCUUCCUCCAAUUGUCAGGUACCUCUCCCAUUCCCUUCCAGAGAUGAUGGCGAGUGGCAGACCAACAUCAUCUGCAGAUCACUCAGCACCCAUGGGAGCAUCCAAACAAGGGAUGUGGAUGUAUUAGUGUUUAAUCUGUCUAGCCAGUCUCUAACCCAACCUCCAUGACCAAGGCUUCCUUUCUGCAGCCUUCUUCUCUUACAUCCAAAGUCUAGGAAUCUUGAGAACCACCCCGAACAGUGAAGACUGGGGCAAAGAAAACCCUUCAUAAUUUCAUCUUCUCUGUGUUUUCUGUUACCAUAAUGCCCAUCUGAUUUAUCAGUGGCCCUACAUUUUCCUUUUGCUACUGAUACACUUCUAGAAACCCUUCUUGUUGUCCUUUCCAGACUCAAUUCCAGGUAGGCUUUGGCCUUCCUGAAGAUGACCUGCUGUAUGUUGUAGCCACACACUAGCAAGAUGCAGCAAGAGAAAAGGGAGAAAAGGCAAGGAGCAGCACCACCCAUCCUGAGGGGGUCACCUCUGUAAAUGGACCAUAAUGGAACAGAAUAGAUACCAGCGGAAUAGGCUGCUGAAAUGACCAUCAGACACUCCAAAAAUACCACGUAACUCCUAGGACCAAAUCAUUCUGUUGUGAACUCCCCUAUCCUGGGGGAGGUACCACCUGAGUUCCACUGCAUGUACUGCAUGUACUCUUGAGUUUUGGGGAUUUGGAAUUCCACCACUGCUCAACGGACCCAGAGGAGGACCCAAACUUCCACAGGAGGACUGGAACUUCCACGGGACCACACCUUUCAACAAGACUGCAACCUUCACUUCAACCACUGCUUAACUGGACUGCAGCCUGACCAACAGAGUGCCAUGUUGUACUCUGACUUUGUAGGUUUAAGCCAGUUUUUCUGUAUCAUUGUAUUUAUUGUAAUCUUUCUGUAAAUUGUAACUCCAACCUGAAAUCUCUCUGAAGGUGUUUGUGUGGGAUUCAUUUCUCCUGCUGGUUUACUUUUGAACUGGCACACCUGCUUGAAAGUAAUAUAAUAUUGGGACCUUUUUUUCAUUUUGUGUCAUAGGAAAGUUUGUUUCUGCAGGGAGGAGAAAUGGGAGAAAUAGAAGAAAAUUCAUUAGUUUAGCUGAAAUAAUGGAGGCUAAAUGAUGUCUUCUUUCUUAAAUUAAAUCAAUGGGCUGAAUGCCACUUUUAAUCUGAAUUUCAGGUAAUUUCUCCCUAGGCACUUAUGUAUGACCAUUAGUGAAGACAGAAUGGAUAUGCUGGAAAAACCUUUUGUUUUUCCAGUUUGAUGUGGCAGAUCUUUUGUUCUCUGUGCCCGGGAAUUGUGAGAUUUUUGGAGAAUGAGUUACUGAGCUGUGACUUGGUGACCUAAAGUAGCUCCUAGAGGGUCAGAAAUGUGGCAGAGUUAUUGCUAGAGCACCAAUUGUACCCAGCUGGGAGAGAGAAGAGGGCUGUGUGACAUGGACAUUUUACCCAUCAGCAUGCUUACAGGUUUCAUUGUCACACAGAGUUGCUGCUGUUUGUACUGCACCUAUGCUGUCCUCUGGACACUCCCACUUCUUGGGGUGUUAUUGGUAUACUGAUUACUGAUACGUCUGGCCAUCCACAAUACCUACCCUCAGAUCUUGUAAAAGAAAUAGAA